AAACUGUAAGCCUGUAACUCUGUCUUCUGUCUCAGGCUGGAAAGAUGUCUCAAUGGUUAGGAGUGUCUGGGAUGGAGAUGAUGCCAGAAGGACCAAGAGCAUCAUCCGAACAACUUACAUAAAACUGAAAAUAUGUGAAUAGCCACAUGAAAGAGCAAGAAGCUUUGCAGGGAAGGCCGAUGCACCGGUUCUCAGUCACUGCACUCAAUAGCCCCUCUCCAGAGAAAUAACUCAUCCACAACAAGAUGAAAGCCAUCCAUUGCAAUAAGGAAUGCUUACUGCGCUGGUCUGACACAGUUACAUCUACAUCACCAUCUUGGGCCAGAGCUCACACAGCAGGAAUAAGACAGCUCAUCUGUGAGCUCCUUCCUUGGAUGCCUGGAGGGUCUUUUAAACAGCCACUGCGGGAGGAAGUGAGUUUUCCUGUUGAUAUCUGGCCACUUCGUAGUGUGAAGGAUUUGACUGGCUUCCUCUUCACAAACUGUGCACAUUCAGAGAAGAGAGCUGUGUAUUCAUCUCUAGCACGGUGUCCAUGGCUUCUAAGAUCACAGCAUGUUUAUGGGAUGGGCAAAUGGGCAGAAAAUGUCAUGUUUGUCCCUUUGGUGGCACCAACUACCUAGGUUAGAAUAAGGAAGUCAUGACACUUCCCAGGGUUCCUAUGUGUAUAUCUAAAUUGGGGUGGUAGAAAACACUAGCUUACAGACCAAGCUACUGAGCUUAGUUUAAACAUUGAUCUCAUAAGAUGACUGGCUACACAGCGACAGAGUGAUGAGAUGCUGCACUCUGCCUCCAGCCUUCCUGGAAACCAGCAAUAAGGAAGCAUAGAGUUAGCCAAUAAGUACCAGACCCCAGGUAGGGUCUGAUUUAAGAGUAGGGAAGUAUUCCUUAAGGAACUGGCAAUGUAGUCAAAGGGAUCACACAGAACAAAACAGCAGCUGUAGGAGGAAAGGCACAAGGCGCCCUUUUUUGGGGGGCGUGGUGGUGGUGAUGGUGGCGGUGAUGUGUAUGCAGUUAGUUAGUUACUUAUUUGGAGUGUGCACGCAACAGCGAGCCUAUAGGAGUCAGAGGCAGCUUUUGAGAGUUGUUUCUCUCCUUGCACCCUGUGGCUCUCGGGAACUGAACUCGGGUUGCCAGCCCUAGCAUCUUUUCCUACUGGGCCAUCUAAGUCACCCUAGGAGGUCAGAGGUCAAUUGUUUCUCUCCACCUUACCAUGGGAGAUCCAGGGACUGAACAUCAAGUUCUUGGGCUUGACAGCAAGAACUUCUCCCACUGAAGUAUCCCAUGGGCGAAGUAGACAGCUAGUUUAGAGGUUCAUUCAGUAUCUCUGGCAAUCACACAGCUGCUUUCUGAACAGGCUGUGAACUGGUUCCUUUACCAGCUCCUAGGCUCUAGUCAAACUCGCCACCUACUGCUUCAUUUAUCCCUUUACUCAACUAAGGUGAGCAGAUGUGGGACCUGCGCACAUCCGAGAGCAAGCUACUCCUGACUUUGGACACAUGAUGUUCUGAAUUGGAGGCAGUUAACCUGGAUUUUGCAGUUAGAGCCCCAGGCUAUGCACACAAGGUCCUUCUGUGGGAAGCACAGUUUUAUGGUCCUUGGGUCCAGGCAAUGACUGCCACCGGCUAAGAGUCCAAGUAAGACCAGCUGAGGAGAAAUUGCCUGAAGCCUUCCCUUCUAAGGAUUCCUUCAGCCAUGUCCCCAUACAGAAGGGCUUUGAGGGAGGAAGGAAGCAAGCGUCCUCACAUUUGCUGACCCAUGAUGUCUGUGAAUUCAGAGUCACGACGACGACCGUAACCGUUGAGGCCAUCUGAUGGCCAUGUGAAAUCCUUGAUAUAACACUCGCUUCCCUAAGAAAGUCCUGAGAGCAUUUUCUGGAAACUGCAAAAGGGAAAUGGCGGCUGGUCUUAGCGUGAUGGAUGAUACUGAAGAGGAGAAUCUGUAUG